ensembl:lncRNA
UAACUGCCUUCCUCUGUGUGGAUUAAUUAAAGACUAUUUACCCUUGAGUUUCAUCUUCCUGUGCUUUCCUCAACACUAUCCUCAAGUUCCAGCCCAUGUCACCAGAGCCACUGCAGAUGUGUCCAGUCCCGCUCAGCCAUGCAGUAUUGUCUCAACAGCUCCUUCUGGGGCAUUAUUGCAAGGUCCAUCUGUAGUUCCACUUCCUCGUUUGUGUUCUGAGACCUUGCCACCAGAGGAUCACAAGUGGAUUGGCAAAAGGCUUUUUAAAAUGGGAUUCCCAGGGAACAUACAUACUGGGCCUCUUGGGCAUGGUUUUCGGAUUGGCAGCUGGUUGUGAACUGGUGCCCUGCACAACUGUAGGCUGUAACCGUGGCAUUCCCUGGACCAUUGGGAUUCCCUGAACCAUUGGUACUCCCUGACCAACUGGCAUUCCCUGGACCAUUGGCAGUCUUUGAACCAUUUGCAGACCUUGGAACACUGGCACACCCUGGAAACCUGGUGCUGCUGGUAUAAGUAUGUUGGGUAACAUCUGCACUGAUGCUCCAGGUGCUGAUGGUGUAACCAGUGUAAGACUCUGUGCUGGUGCCUUGGGUCUGAGAGGUGGUCUUCCAGUAGAAAUCUGCCUCUGCUUUGCCUGACCUGCUGUGCACUCUGGUAGCUUGUACUGGUGCUGCUCCCCUGGUUGUUCUGGCUCAGUCCAAAAGGCAUUUGGCAGCCUUGGAGAGGUUCCUGAGCUUCAGGGGGGGGCUGAGGCAACUGAAUGCCCUGAAGCAGCACAGACAGCUCCUGCAUUUUAUGUCUGUUAUACCACUGAAUCAGGGUGUUCUGGUUAACCUCCACCAGCCGCAUUGAGGCCCCCCCCAUCAACAAGCUGUUGCCCAGUACAAGCUACCUUAUCCUUCUGUAGUCUUGGAGGAUCAGAGACCAUCUCGACAGCAUUCCCUUGCCUCUUCUUUUGGGGCUUGGGUGAAUAGUGCAAAGCAUGAUGAAGAUGGUCUCCACCAGACCGUCAGGCCACUGAGCUGGUGCGCUGCUUGCACCCAGCACACUUCUGGUGGUGCUCUCUACUCCUCUGGCUCUGAGGAGUGUGGUGAAACAGGUGUUCCAGAGGUAACAGGUGGGACGGCAGUCCCUGAGGGUCCAGGUGAUGAAGGAGAAGGUGUAGGGUCAGGGACCAGUGAAGGGGAUAUGCAACCCAGUACAGCCGUGUCACUGCUGGUGACCAGGGUGGAAGAGCCCAGUGUCAGUGUGGAGGAGGGUGGUGACAGAACAACCUCUGGAUCUGCAAUGGUGUGAUCCUCGCUCAUGUCACAGAAGCCCUCAUCUUCAUCUCGCUCCUCUACAUUUAGGUCCUCGAUGAGUUCUGCUGUCUCUUCAGAGUCUAGGUUCAUGUCCUGCAGUGCUUGACCAGUCUGCUGGAACAGAUACUGCACUCCAAUGAGCUCAUCUGGAAUAAAAAUAAUAAACCGGAAUUAAAUACACAGGUUGUGUAUCAUAUUUGAUACAUAAGGCCUUAGAAGUAGCUCAUAUAGUGUAAUAAUGUGAGAACAUGGAGCUCAUAGUCGAGGAGAAAAAAAAAUAUUCAGAGGCCAUAAGCCUAUAACUGUGGGGGC